UGCAGUCGAACGAGAAGCUAUUCUUCGGGAUAGUGGACAGUGGCGAACGGGUGCGUAACGCGUGGGAAAUUACCGUAAAGUCUGGGACAACAGUUGGAAACGACUGCUAAUACCGGAUAAGUCCUAAGGGAUAAAGCUUAAUGUGCUUUACGAUAUGCCCGCGUUAGAUUAGCUAGUUGGUGAGGUAAGAGCUCACCAAGGCGACGAUCUAUAGCUGGUUUGAGAGGAUGAUCAGCCACACUGGGACUGAGACACGGCCCAGACUCCUGCGGGAGGCAGCAGUGGGGAAUAUUGGACAAUGGGGGCAACCCUGAUCCAGCAAUGCCGCGUGUGUGAAGAAGGCCUUAGGGUUGUAAAACACUUUCAACUGAGAAGAUGAUGACGGUAUCAGUAUAAGAAGCUCCGGCUAACUCCGUGCCAGCAGCCGCGGUAAUACGGAGGGAGCUAGCGUUGUUCGGAAUUACUGGGCGUAAAGAGCACGUAGGCGGCUUGACGCGUCAGAGGUGAAAUCCCAGGGCUUAACCCUGGAACUGCCUUUGGUACGGUCAGGCUAGAAUGUCGUAGAGGUUAGCGGAAUUCCAAGUGUAGAGGUGAAAUUCGUAGAUAUUUGGAAGAACACCAGUGGCGAAGGCGGCUAACUGGGCGACGAUUGACGCUGAGGUGCGAAAGUGUGGGUAGCGAACGGGAUUAGAUACCCCGGUAGUCCACACCGUAAACGAUGAGUGCUAGCUGUUGGAGCUUUAGGGUUUCAGUGGCGCAGUUAACGCAUUAAGCACUCCGCCNGGGGAGUACGAUCGCAAGANUAAAACUCAAAGGNAUUGACGGGGNNCCGCACAAGC
rnacentral:rRNA from 1 species